GAUGAACGCUGGCGGCGUGCCUAAUACAUGCAAGUCGAACGGAAAGGCCCUGCUCUUGCGGGGUGCUCGUGAGGCGAACGGGGGAGUAAAACGCGAGUAAACCGCCCCUGACAUUCGGGUAUCUUCAGGGAACUGGGGCUAAUACCGGAUAGGAGAUCCUGCAGCACGGUGGGGGUUGGAAAAAUUCGGCGGUUUGGGCUCGUUUAGCGGGUUAUCCGCUUGUUGGUGAGGUAGUGGCUGACCAAGGGUUUGACGGGUAGGCGGCCUGGGAGGGUGACCGGCCACAUUGGGACUGAGGUAGGGCGCAGACGGCAACCGGAGGCAGCAGUGGGGAAUAUGGCACAAUAGGCGGGAGCCUGAGGCAGCGACGCCGGGUGCGGGAUGAUGGCCUUCGAGUUGUAAACCGCUGUCGCAUGUGACGAAGCGGGAGUGACGGUAAUGGAUAAAGAAGCACCGGCUAACUACGUG
rnacentral:rRNA from 1 species